GCACAGUGGUGCAGUGGGUAGCACUGUCGCCUCACAAGGUUCGAGUCCUGGGUUCGAGUCCCGGUCUGGGCC
rnacentral:tRNA from 1 species